GUAGGUGAACCUGCGGAAGGAUCAUUAACACGUAUCCACGUUAUCAACCAAUCGGUAAUUCAUGUUUUCUAGUCGCACUCGACCAAGGGAUUACUUGAGCGGUAUCUCUCUGUCUCUCACGAGAUGGAGGCGUUAUUGGCGUUCCCUGACAUCGAGUCACUUUUUGUCCUAGCGUAGGAUUCGCGCAAGCGAUGAUCUAUUCGGGAUGAAUACUCACUCAACUUACCAUAUUAACCUUAUUACACUAGUUGUCUAUUUAUAUGUUGUUUCAUGUUGAGAUUAAUUUCUCUCUGUGACUCACACGUUUAUUUAAUUGAACGUUAAAAUACAACUCUUAGCAAUGGAUAUCUUGGUUCUC
rnacentral:misc_RNA from 1 species